rnacentral:rRNA from 1 species
UUGAGAGCGGCGGCGGGUGAGUAAAGCCUAGGAAUCUGCCUGGUAGUGGGGGAUAACGUUCGGGAAACGGACGCUAAUACCGCAUACGUCCUACGGGAGAAAGCAGGGGACCUUCGGGCCUUGUGCUAUCAGAUGAGCCUAGGUCGGAUUAGCUAGUUGGUGAGGUAAUGGCUCACCAAGGCGACGAUCCGUAACUGGUCUGAGAGGAUGAUCAGUCACACUGGAACUGAGACACGGUCCAGACUCCUACGGGAGGCAGCAGUGGGGAAUAUUGGACAAUGGGCGAAAGCCUGAUCCAGCCAUGCCGCGUGUGUGAAGAAGGUCUUCGGAUUGUAAAGCACUUUAAGUUGGGAGGAAGGGCAUUAACCUAAUACGUUAGUGUUUUGACGUUACCGACAGAAUAAGCACCGGCUAACUCUGUGCCAGCAGCCGCGGUAAUACAGAGGGUGCAAGCGUUAAUCGGAAUUACUGGGCGUAAAGCGCGCGUAGGUGGUUUGUUAAGUUGGAUGUGAA